UACGGGGGGGGCAAGCGUUGUUCGGAAUUACUGGGCGUAAAGGGCUCGUAGGCGGCCAACUAAGUCAGACGUGAAAUCCCUCGGCUUAACCGGGGAACUGCGUCUGAUACUGGAUGGCUUGAGUUUGGGAGAGGGAUGCGGAAUUCCAGGUGUAGCGGUGAAAUGCGGUAGAUAUCUGGAGGAACACCGGUGGCGAAGGCGGCAUCCUGGACCAAUACGUGACACUGAGUGAGCGAAAGCCAGGGGAG
rnacentral:rRNA from 1 species